CCCACCUCAGCCUCCCAAAGCGCUGGGACUACAGGGGUGAGCCACCGCGCCCAGCCUGCUGCCACAUUUUUUUCACCAAAAGCAAAUCUAACCGGGUUCUCUGGUUAGAUGCCUACAACAGCCAUCUGAGAAGCCGUCCCUUCACAGUCUGGCCCCAACUCUUCUUCACUCCAGCUCGUCCUCUGGCACUGUGACUACACUACAUUCACUGUUCCCAGAGCACAUUUUCAGGCCCGUGUAUAAUAUAUACUACAGUUUGCGCACAGAAUCUCUUUCACAAGAUUCCCCCUCUGUCUAAAACAUUCUGUAUUUUUCAGGCCCUGCUCACAAAUCAUCUCUUCCUCAAAUUUUCUCAUGAAGAAUAAACUUCUCCCUCUGGGUUACCUAUGCACAGUUAAUACAGCUUUUUUUGUGGUCCCUAUUCUACACACUACUCUUACUACAAAUUUUGCGUUUGCUCCCACUAGAAAGUGAGAUUGUUGUGGGAACCUCUUGCACCAGGAGAGCCCCGGUACCUUACACACUGACUGCCUCAAGUCAUGUGAUAGCCUGAGUUUUUCCACUGUUUGAAAACUGGCUCUGCCAUCUUUCACCUGUGCAGUCUGGGACAAGUCGUUAUGAGGCUUCUCCAAGUCUCAUUUCCUCUUACGAAAACUUAUUAUCUCUAUUUGGAAAGUUAUCGUGAAGAUCUCAGCUUAUGAAAUGAUGUAUGUGAAGCACCCACCACAAAGCACGAUGCUGGCUUUCUAUUAACUGUAACUGACAGAUAAAAAUGCGCUGGAGUAAUGAAACGGGGGGGAAGAGGCUGCCCAAAGGAUGAAUUAAGGAGAAUCAGUUCAGUCCCACAAACAUUUGCUGGGUGCCUACUACGUACUGUACCAGAGGUGGAAGGACAUAAACAGCAAAGGACGAACGAAGCACAGUCCCUGCCCACAGGAAAAGUAAACUGCCAGAUGACAAAGGUUCACCGAGGAGUUUUUGGGGUAAACCUAUGGUCCCCUCCACACAAGGAGCUUUUCAAGGGCAGCGGUUCUCAACAGGGCGAUGUUGUUCCCCAGAGGACAUUUUGGGUUGCCACAAACGGGGAGGAGGUGCGACCGGCACCCAGCAGGUGGAGGCCAGGGAUGUUGCUAACGAGCCUCGGACGCACGGACAGCCCCGAUCACAAGGAGUCUUCAGAAGCACAGCGCACAAGUAAAGAUGCCCCCUUUACCUACCAGCCCGGCAGCACCGCGCCGGGUCCCCGCCCACACCAGCCACGGGGAGCGGACUUCCGGCGGGGCGGACCCACGGCGCUGCCCGAGGCGCAGCGGACCUGACUCCAGCCCGAUCCCGGGAGCUCGACCCCGGGAGUGCGACCCAGGGGACACCGAGCCCCUGCAGCCCCGCAGUGAUCCUGUCUACUGAGAGGGCUGGGAAGCCACAUGCCUCCUACAACAACUAGAAGCCAACAAGUGAGCCUCGUCUCUCAACAAGAAAAGGAAAACGAAGUCUCCAGUAGGUCAGAUAACUACCAAUGCCACCCGGCUGAUGACAGCAGAACUGGCUUCCAGGAUUGGCUGCCGUUUCUGAAGUCCACAUAACCUGCCAAUUUGUCCAGAAGGUGUUGAAUUCUAAAAAGGUCAGCUUUACAAUUGCUGUCUCUAAUUCCCAUGCCAAUAGUUAAUCAUUUUCACUUGCGGGGCGUUUUCCCUCCAGGAGCCACAGACAGGUCUGCUGAGGGGCACGGACGGGACUGAAGUGUCCCCUCCUGGCGUACCCCUGGGCGCCAGCCUUAGCAAUGCUGGCUGGGCUUUCAGACUCCAUCUGCGGAGCCACACCCCGGAGUGCAACGGGGUAGAGAGUGAAAUGAAAAGAACGUGGGGUAUGGAGGAAGGACCUUUGGGCUCAUGGUCCAGCAGGAAAACUCAGUAGCCGUGUGGCCUGCGCAGGAGCCGUAACCCCUGGGACCUCAGCAGGCUGUGCCGCCUAAGAGUGUCGGGACUCACCAGGGUGUCCUGAGGACCGGAAGCAGUGACUCUGGUGGAUGGUCUCUGUGGAGUCUAACACCCCACACAAAUCCCACUGUCACCUCCUUUUCUCUCCCUCCCCACCUCCUCCAGGGCCCGGGUGGCUGCUAUUGUUUAGUAUCUUUUCCAGGUGUGGUUAUGACAUCACCUUCGCACUGUCCUCUUGGAAUCACUGAAGAGGUUUCUGGGAUGGGAGAACUGAAAGGAGCCUUAGGAAUUUUCUAGAACCAUCAUCCCACACCACCACCCACUUCAGAAGAGAACCGAGGUUCCAAGUCACAGGGCAAGUUGGUGGCAGACCCAGGUCUCCUAACUGGCUACAGUGCCCCCCAGCCCCAGCCUUCCCCGUCUCCUCCCACCUCGCCGUAGCCCCACCUUGGCCUGCCCCGCCAGGAAGCAGAAUUCCCCCUUUCAAGGGUGCCCUGAAGCCCCCAUGGCAAG